rnacentral:rRNA from 1 species
ACCGACCCUUCGGGGAGCUUGAACAGGUGCUGCAUGGCUGUCGUCAGCUCGUGUCGUGAGAUGUUCGGUUAAGUCCGCUAACGAGCGCAACCCUCGCUGUGUGUUACAAGUGUCACACGGAACUGCCGGUCAUAAACCGGAGGAAGGUGGGGAUGACGUCAAGUCAGCAUGGCCUUUAUAUCCUGGGCUACACACACGCUACAAUGGGAAGGGACAAUAGGUUGCGAAGCCGCGAGGCGGAGCCAAUCCAGCAAAACUUCCCUCAGUUCAGAUUGCAGGCUGCAACUCGCCUGCAUGAAGUUGGAGUUGCUAGUAAACGCAGGUCAGCCAUACUGCGUUGAAUACGUUCCCGGGGCUU